rnacentral:rRNA from 1 species
UCCUGGCUCAGGAUAAACGCUGGCGGCGCACAUAAGACAUGCAAGUCGAACGGACUUAACCAUUAGUUUACUAUUGGAGCGGUUAGUGGCGGACUGGUGAGUAACACGUAAGCAACCUGCCUAUCAGAGGGGAACAACAGUUAGAAAUGACUGCUAAUACCGCAUAUGCCAUGAAUAUCACAUGAUAUAAAUGGGAAAGGAGCAAUCCGCUGAUAGAUGGGCUUGCGUCUGAUUAGAUAGUUGGUGGGGUAACGGCCUACCAAGUCGACGAUCAGUAGCCGGACUGAGAGGUUGAACGGCCACAUUGGGACUGAGAUACGGCCCAGACUCCUACGGGAGGCAGCAGUCGGGAAUAUUGCGCAAUGGAGGAAACUCUGACGCAGUGACGCCGCGUGCAGGAAGAAGGUUUUCGGAUUGUAAACUGCUUUAGACAGGGAAGAUAAUGACAGUACCUGUAGAAUAAGCUCCGGCUAACUACGUGCCAGCAGCCGCGGUAAUACGUAGGGAGCAAGCGUUAUCCG